rnacentral:rRNA from 1 species
UACGGGGGGGGCAAGCGUUGUUCGGAAUUACUGGGCGUAAAGGGCGCGUAGGCGGUUGGAUAAGUCAGCUGUGAAAACCACGGGCUUAACUCGUGGCCUGCAGUUGAAACUGUCUGGCUUGAGUGUGGGAGAGGAGAGUGGAAUUCCUGGUGUAGCGGUGAAAUGCGUAGAUAUCAGGAGGAACACCGGUGGCGAAGGCGGCUCUCUGGACCACAACUGACGCUGAGGCGCGAAAGCUAGGGGGAGCAAACAGG